rnacentral:rRNA from 1 species
GACGAACGCUGGCGGCGUGCUUAACACAUGCAAGUCGAACGAAGUGGCGAACGGGUGAGUAACGCGUGAGUAACUGCCCCCCUCUCUGGGAUAACAGUUGGAAACGUCUGCUAAUACCGGAUAGUGGUGGAUGACUCGCUGUCUAUCAGCUUGUUGGUGGUGUAGUUGCCUACCAAGGCGACGACGGGUAGCCGGCCUGAGAGGGCGACCGGCCCCAUUAGGCUGAGAUACUGACCAAACUCCUACGGGAGGCAGCGGUGGGGAAUAUUGCACAAUGGGGGAACGCCUGAUGCAGCAACGCCGCGUGCGGAAUGACGGCUUUCGGGUUGUAAACCGCUUUCAGCCAUGACGCGGUAUUGGCAGAAGAAGCACCGGCUAACUACGUGCCAGCAGCCGCGGUAAUAC